GAGCUGAUCCCCUUCGGGGGUGACGCUCGUGGAAUGAGCGGCGGACGGGUGAGUAACACGUGGGCAACCUGCCUGUAAGAUCGGAAUAACUCCGGGAAACCGGAGCUAAUGCCGGGUAACAUGUUCCUUCGCAUGAAGGAACAUUAAAAGAUGGCUUCUCGCUAUCACUUACAGAUGGGCCCGCGGCGCAUUAGCUAGUUGGUGAGGUAACGGCUCACCAAGGCAACGAUGCGUAGCCGACCUGAGAGGGUGAUCGGCCACACUGGGACUGAGACACGGCCCAGACUCCUACGGGAGGCAGCAGUAGGGAAUCUUCCGCAAUGGACGAAAGUCUGACGGAGCAACGCCGCGUGAACGAUGAAGGUCUUCGGAUCGUAAAGUUCUGUUGUUAGGGAAGAACAAGUACCGUGCGAAUAGAGCGGUACCUUGACGGUACCUAACGAGGAAGCCCCGGCUAACUACGUGCCAGCAGCCGCGGUAAUACGUAGGGGGCAAGCGUUGUCCGGAAUUAUUGGGCGUAAAGCGCGCGCAGGCGGUUCCUUAAGUCUGAUGUGAAAGGCCACGGCUCAACCGUGGAGGGCCAUUGGAAACUGGGGAACUUGAGGACAGAAGAGGAAGAGUGGAAUUCCACGUGUAGCGGUGAAAUGCGUAGAUAUGUGGAGGAACACCAGUGGCGAAGGCGACUCUCUGGUCUGUUUCUGACGCUGAGGUGCGAAAGCGUGGGU
rnacentral:rRNA from 1 species